rnacentral:rRNA from 1 species
UAAUAUAAGAUUUAACCUGCCCGCUGAAUAAUUGAAUGGCCGCGGUAUUUUGACCGUGCAAAGGUAGCAUAAUAAUUAGUUUUUUGAUUGAAAGCUGGAAUGAAUGGUUGGACGAGAAAAUUACUGUCUCUGAUUAAAUUUUUAAUAAAAUUUUAUUUUUAAGUUAAAAAGCUUAAAUGUUGUUAAAAGACGAGAAGACCCUAUAGAGUUUAAUAAUUUUUUAAUAAUAUAAUUUUAGGUAUUUAAAUUUUGUUUUUAUGAAAUUAUUUUAUUGGGGUGAUAAAAAGAUUAAAUUAACUCUUUUUUUAUUUUUACAUUUAUAAAUGAUUAUUUGAUCCAAUUUUUUUGAUUAUAAGAAUAAAUUACCUUAGGGAUAACAGCGUAAUCUUUUUAGAGAGUUCUUAUCGAAAUAAGGGAUUGCGACCUCGAUGUUGGAUUAAAGUUAAUUUUUGGUGUAGAAGCUUGAAAAUUGAGUCUGUUCGACUUUUAAAACUUUACAUGAUCUGAGUUUAAACCGGUGUGAGCCAGGUUGGUUUCUAUCUUUAUUUAAUAAAAAUAUCUUAGUACGAAAGGACCAA